CCCUUAGAUGUUCUGGGCCGCACGCGCGCUACACUGAUGAAUGCAACGAGCUCUACCCUUGACCGAAAGGCCCGGGUAAACUUGUGAAACUUCAUCGUGAUGGGGACAGAUUAUUGCAAUUAUUAAUCUUCAACGAGGAAUUCCUAGUAAGCGCGAGUCAUCAGCUCGCGUUGAUUACGUCCCUGCCCUUUGUACACACCGCCCGUCGCUCCUACCGAUUGAAUGGUCCGGUGAAAUCUUCGGAUUGCUGACCAAGAUCCAGCAAUGGAGCUUGGUUGCGAGAAGUUGAUUAAACCUUAUUAUUUAGAGGAAGGAGAAGUCGUAACA
rnacentral:rRNA from 1 species